UGGGGAAUAUUGCACAAUGGGCGAAAGCCUGAUGCAGCAACGCCGCGUGAGCGAUGAAGGCCUUCGGGUCGUAAAGCUCUGUCCUAUGGGAAGAUAAUGACGGUACCAUAGGAGGAAGCCCCGGCUAACUACGUGCCAGCAGCCGCGGUAAUACGUAGGGGGCAAGCGUUAUCCGGAAUUACUGGGCGUAAAGGGUGCGUAGGCGGUUUAUCAAGUCAGGGGUGAAAGGCUACGGCUCAACCGUAGUGAGCCUCUGAAACUGGUGAACUUGAGUGUAGGAGAGGAAAGUGGAAUUCCCAGUGUAGCGGUGAAAUGCGUAGAUAUUGGGAGGAACACCAGUGGCGAAGGCGACUUUCUGGACUACAACUGACGCUGAGGCACGAAAGCGUGGGGAGCAAACAG
rnacentral:rRNA from 1 species